CAGUCGCCACGGGAAUACGUAGGUGGCAAGCGUUGUCCGGAAUUAUUGGGCGUAAAGGGCUCGCAGGCGGUUUCUUAAGUCUGAUGUGAAAGCCCCCGGCUCAACCGGGGAGGGCCAUUGGAAACUGGGAAACUUGAGUGCAGAAGAGGAGAGUGGAAUUCCACGUGUAGCGGUGAAAUGCGUAGAGAUGUGGAGGAACACCAGUGGCGAAGGCGACUCUCUGGUCUGUAACUGACGCUGAGGAGCGAAAGCGUGGGGAGCGAACAGGAUUAGAUACCCCGGUAGUCCCUGUCUCUUAUAC
rnacentral:rRNA from 1 species